rnacentral:rRNA from 1 species
GACGAACGCUGGCGGCGUGCUUAACAUAUGCAAGUCGAACGGAAAGGCCCUGCUUUUGUGGGGUGCUCGAGUGGCGAACGGGUGAGUAACACGUGAGUAACCUGCCCUUGACUUUGGGAUAACUUCAGGAAACUGGGGCUAAUACCGGAUAGGAGCUCCUGCUGCAUGGUGGGGGUUGGAAAGUUUCGGCGGUUGGGGAUGGACUCGCGGCUUAUCAGCUUGUUGGUGGGGUAGUGGCUUACCAAGGCUUUGACGGGUAGCCGGCCUGAGAGGGUGACCGGCCACAUUGGGACUGAGAUACGGCCCAGACUCCUACGGGAGGCAGCAGUGGGGAAUAUUGCACAAUGGGCGGAAGCCUGAUGCAGCAACGCCGCGUGCGGGAUGACGGCCUUCGGGUUGUAAACCACUUUCGCCUGUGACGAAGCGUGAGUGACGGUAAUGGGUAAAGAAGCACCGGCUAACUACGUG